CACCAGCCUCCACUGCUGUCAAUCACUUAGAAGCUCUGGAUGAAUUUAUUUAAUACAUUUUGUUGGAAAGCUUUAUAUAAAAUCCAAAGGUAUUCCAGAAACUAGUUAUUAGAAAUAUACAUACUGUGUUGUUGUUUUUCUUUAGUAAAAUGAACUCAACUAGAUCCAAGAGGGAGCUUAAAGGGGCAUUCCUCUCAUUUCCUGUUGAAGAAGUUCCGGAUAACAUGUGAACAUGGCACAUUGCCUGUGAUAAGGAUCUUUGGGAGGAUGGAGGAUGGAGGAAGGAGUACACUAGUGGUCUGUGGGAGGUUCCUGAUAACAUGUGAACAUGGCACAUUGCCUGUGAUAAGGAUCUUUGGGAGGAUGGAGGAUGGAGGAAGGAGUACACUAGUGGUCUGUGG
ensembl:lncRNA